UACGUAGGGGGCAAGCGUUGUCCGGAAUUAUUGGGCGUAAAGCGCGUGUAGGCGGCCCGAUAAGUCCGCCGUGAAAGCCCAGGGCUCAACCCUGGGAUGCCGGUGGAAACUGUCGGGCUAGAGUCCGGAAGAGGCGAGUGGAAUUCCUGGUGUAGCGGUGAAAUGCGCAGAUAUCAGGAGGAACACCAAUGGCGAAGGCAGCUCGCUGGGACGGUUACUGACGCUGAGACGCGAAAGCGUGGGGAGCAAACAGG
rnacentral:rRNA from 1 species